rnacentral:rRNA from 1 species
UACGGAGGAUCCAGGCGUUAUCCGGAUUUAUUGGGUUUAAAGGGUGCGCAGGCGGGGAAUUAGGUCGGCGGUGAAAUUUCGGGGCUCAACCUCGACAGUGCCGUUGAAACCGUUUCUCUUGAGUGCGGAUGAGGUAGGCGGAAUUUGUGGUGUAGCGGUGAAAUGCGUAGAUAUCACAAGGAACACCGAUUGCGGAGGCAGCUUACUAAACCGUUACUGACGCUCAUGCACGAAGGCGUGGGGAUCAAACAGGAUUAGAUACC